rnacentral:lncRNA from 1 species
CACAAAGCCAGCCCUGUGGUCUAGUGUUUAAGAUCCUGUGCUCUCACCACCGUGACCCGGCUUCCUCUCCUGGUCAGGGAACCAUAUCCCCUGUCUCUCGGUUGUCAUACUGUGGUGGCUGUGUGUUGAUGUCAUGCUGAGAGUUCUGCCACCUGGACUUCAAUACCAGCAGGGUCACCCAUGGAGGACAGGUGUCAGUGGAGCUGCCAGACCAAGACAGACAAGGAAGAAGGGCCUGGCCAGCACUUCUGAAAAAAUUUGCAAUGAAAACCCUGCAAAUAGCAGCAGAGCAUCAUCUGAUAUAGCGCGGGAAGGUGAGAGGAUGCACGGAGGCACUGGGCAGGGCUCCGCUCUGCUGCCCGCAGUUGUUGCUCGGUGCUGUAGAAACAAACACACACACUGUUCAUGCUCGGGAAUCCAUCGUCUAACAAGCGAGCUGCUUAGUCGUUUUUAUUGUACAAGCACGCAGUGAUUCUCACGUGAUGGCGCACGGAUGCCUCUGACCUUCCUUCAGGCGGCUCCCUGGACCUUCUUUCUGACAGGACCCUGAACUUGGCCAGUCCUUUUGUUCGCCGGGCCCAGUGUUGGUGACAAUCUGCUGCACCAGAUUCAGGGGAUCCCUCGGCUUUGGGAUCUGGUCAUGUCCCUCUCAGAGGGUUUCCCUCCACGCCUCGCCCACCCUGGGCUGCACGUCUGCUCCGUCCCUGUGGUAUCGGGAAUUGAGUUACGUGUAAGGCUGAGAGUGGGGUUUCCUUAGACCAGUCCGUGCUCCAGGCUGCCCUCCUCAUGGGAGAUGGGGGCCUGGGGGAUGCUCAGGGGAGGUUCCCUCUGCUCCAGGCUUUCGGGGAUGGACAGCACAGACGGACAGAGCUGUACCAUCGUAGAAGGACAUGAGUGAUUUUCUGACAAGUUCUACAGCAGGAGAAAUACUAAAUGUACAUUCAGGGAGAGCAAAAUCAUUUCGUCAACGUAUUGCUCUCGUGUACUGAAAUUUCAAGCAGUGUUCUUCCUGAUUAGGGUGAAAUUUGGCCGACUUUAAAUGCUAGCAAUUUCUGAUUCAUACAUGCCCUUUCUAUAAAACCCCAUUCAAUAGAGUGCUGUGAAACACAGCUGCGGUGCCUGUGCAGAAAGCUACACUGAAAAUUGCAUUACGGAAGAAAGAAAACACAAAACACCCUCCCAGAGGAAGAGUUCUGUGCUGGCCGGCAGGAAACAGAGUUAGGAGGCGGUGAAUGGUCAGAUCCUUUCAAGUCCCAAAGGGAGGGAUGUUCAGCAGGUAUCCGGGGACCACUACGUGUUGGAUGUGGUGCUGUGUUCCAGAUGCAUCACGGAACAAAACGUGGCUCCUGUCCCCGGGCGCUGAUGGCUUCUGGACGAGAGGCAAGAUGACAGCAACGGCUAGAUUGAUGAGCACCGGGCAGCCCUGGAGAGCAGAGAAAGGGGACUGAGUGAGGGUGUGGGAGGGGGCAACUGGGGGAAGGAGUCAUUUCACCAGACAGAGAGCGAAGCGGGUGGAGCAGACAUCAGAGGCAGCCGUGGAGAAAUCUAGAACACGUCAGUGCUGGUAGAGUGUACGAUGUGAGGCCAGGACUUGUGGGGUAGCUUCUCAGAGGGCCGGUGGGGCUGGGGUUUGACUGUGGGUAAACAGCUGAAUUUUGUUCUGUUUUCAUGCCGAGACAGCUUCGGUCAACUGAGCACCAGGAGGCAGGACCACUGAUAUCCCUUUGUCUCAGUGCUUAUCCCACUGAGAGACACAUGCUGUGAACUUAGUGAAUAUUCGCUCAACAGACAAAUAAGUCAGAGAGGAAAUUUAAGGAAGAGGGUGACAGAUUUCUACCCUAGAAGCAUCUCUUUGCUGCUGAGUGGGACGUGUGUUCAAGAAGUCGAAGGGACAGACAGGAGAAGUUCAAAGCCUGAUAUUCCAGGACUGAGACAAUGAGAAGAGUAACUGUGACAGGGAUGGAGAAAUAAGCUGCCGCCCGCCGAGUGGAAGCCCAGCUCUGGGUCACAGCACAUGGUCUUCACUCCAGAAAGCCACCGAAGGACGUUGGGUCCGUCUGCAGCAUAGCAUGCUGCAAUUUUAAGGUUCGAAGAGUCAUCCACUGUAAGCACUAUGGGAUUGCAGAGGACACGCACUUUCAUUUUACACCUGUAGUUUCUCUAAGGAGACCAGACAUUCCUGCAUCUCUCAUGAUAUGCAAACAUCACUGGAGGGCAUUGCCAAAAAUCGAGAAAAAAAGCUCUGAAUUUUGGGAGAACCAACUCCCAGUAUUUGUGCUUCACUGCGUGUGUAGAAACAGUGGCGGCUUCGGUCUUGGCCAAACAAAGGUGGCAGGUGCUCGCUACUCCCGUCGAGCGUGGCUCAGAAGCACACGGAGGUCUGAGCUCAAAGCUGUCAUGGCAGAGUCGUCACGAACUUGCUGAGACCGAGGGGAAGGGAGCCCCACCUCAGGGUGGGCGGCCCGGGUCAGUGCCCCCCACCCCAGAUGAGCACGGGAUGAUCACAGGAAGGAGGGAGCAUUUCUAAGAUCUAGUCCUGUGCUCAUCACCUCAUGUCUUGUUCACUCGUUACUGAUGUUGGG